GCCUGGGUGGCUCAUUCAGUUGAGCGUCUGACUUCGGCUCAGGUCAUGCUCUCACCAUCUGUGGGUUCGAGCCCCUCAUCGGGCC
rnacentral:tRNA from 1 species